rnacentral:rRNA from 1 species
AUGGCGAUCGUCACCGAGCACCGCGUACAGAUGCCGACGGAUCCUCCCGCCGGCAAGGCCACCACCGCGCCGGAGAUGGGGCUGAAUCGCUUCGUUCGCUUCAUCGCGCUGAUCGAGAGGCUUGGCAACGCCUUGGGCACGCUGGCCUUCACCUGGGCAACCGUCGUCCUGCUUGGUGGCUACUCCAAGGACCUCAGCUCGGAUUUCUGGGUCCCCACUGGCAUAAUUUUCCUAGAAGCUUUGAGAAUGUUCAGCCGCAACAACAGGAUGGACUACCAAUUGUUCUUCCGCACGAGGGGUGCUUUCAGGUCUCUUGGCUGGAAUGGGCUUAUCUCGCUCAUAUGCUUCUUCAAUGUUCUCAUGGACACUCAUGUUAUAUGGACCAAUGAUGAAAUAAGACAGAUAGCGGCGACUUAUUCAGUAGUGGGACUACUUGUGAUUGGUUCAAUUCUAUGUCCAGAAGCUGCAAUUCCACCCAUGUUACGCCGCGCGAUCUCAUUAUGGAGCCCAAUGGUUGCAAUCCUACUGCUUUGUCCCUCUGUAUGGUACUCCUACAAGUUCGAAGAAGAAUAUUUCAUCUUUCAAAGACAUGGCUCAGUUGCCAACUGCACAGUGUACUUGGUACUAUUUGUGGUAGUGCUCAUACUCACAAUCAGCAGGUUGCGGUUCCCAAGCAUCAUUAAACUAGCAGACUGGGUUCUUGGCAGCAAAAUAGCAUUUUGGCAACGAGUUACUCUGAACUUGUGCAUGUUUGCUGCGACAGUGAUGUCGGUGUUCAAUUUUAAUAGAAGAGGUAUAUCUGCGCUGAUCACAAUGGACAUACUUGUUCUAGUGCUAACUUCAUUUGGCAACCUCCAAAUUCCGGCAGCAGUAUUACGAAUUGGGCUGGCACUGUGGCGCCUUAUAGUUGUACAAAAAGAGAAUAAUGACCAGAAAAAUCAUGAGAACAUGAAAAACCUUCUGUCAUCUCUCUACAUCUUUUAUGCGAUGGUGCUUGGCCAAGGGAUACUCUAUAUUGUUGCCGGCAUCUUUGAGAUCUUUUCAUUCAUCCUACGAAGAUCACUCAUCCGUCGUGUUGGAUUUAGAGGACCCUCGGGGGUGAAAUAUGUCAAUUUGUACUACGCAUAUGUCUUCGACAGAUGCAUGGAAGGUGCUAUACUUGGCCCAAAGAAGACCAACCUCAUCAUAUUUGCAAUGGAUUCUGUAAAGUCAAACUCUCCCAAGAUGCAACUCUAUGGUCUUAAGAUGCUUCACAUAUUUCUAGAAAAGGAGCCCCUAAGGACUAUGGCCAUAUUAGAACUCACCACUUAUACACAGACAGUGACCUGCUUGAUCAACAUGUUGGGCUGGACAAGUGAGGGGGCUACAGAUAUUCGAUCAUUCGCCGCGAAGAUCAUGACCGAGCUCGCUGAAAACCUCCGAGUUGUCCCUAUUCCUGGGGCGAUGCAGCUCAUAGCCUCACUUUUGGACACUGUUCAAGGACAUAAUAUAAAGAACCCUCUUUUGGACACUGGUAGCCCUGAGACAAAACAAGAUAACCUGAUUCAGCAAGUUGGCAGGAACGAACUGACCUCCCCGGUGCUUAAAUGGUUGAAACAGAUGGCACUGUACUGUUUGAUUCCGAGAGAGGAGCCAACUAACAUGGAUGAACAAAACAGCCACAUACUAAGAUGCUGGAGAAAGAUUGCAAAACAUUGGUCUGUUCCAGAGGAGGAGCCAUCAACUAACCAUGAUCUCCUCCCCGUACAGGGCAUGUUGAUUCUUGAAAGGCUUGCUACCUUUGAUCUUGAGAACUGUAUAGAAAUCAGCAGAGCAACUGGCCUCAUUUCAAAGAUUGUAGAGUUCACAAGCAACAUGACUGACAUGAAAAAUAUUGGUGAGACACACGAGACACUCCUGAAACGUUCAUCAAUGAAGCUGCUGGCAAGACUUGCAAGUACUAAAGGCAAAUUUGGUGUAACUUUGCGUCAGAAGAUUACAGAACAUCUCUUCCUCUGGAGCAACCUUGCAGAGAUCUUGGAUAACAGAGGGAGCAGCCAAGAACUUAGGGAGCUUACAGCAGAACUGAUUAGAAACUUUGCCAUGGAUGGAAAUGUGAAUAAUGAGAUCGGGCACAUCCCGAUGAUCAUUAGCAGGUUGAUGCAUGCAUUUCUUAGCCAAGGCGCAUCCUCAAGUGCAGAUUCAGAUCAGUUAUUACGAAUGAAUGCUGGGCAAGCACUAGCACUACUGGCGAUGGAGAGUGUCAGUAACUGUCUGGUUAUGUUAGCGGAACCAGGGUAUGUCUUCAUCAAGGAACUCACAAUUAUGAUCCAUAGUGGCAGGUACAGGUACAUAGCUUCAAGCCUGUUGCAGAAUAUGUGUGUGCAUGCUCAAUCUGAGCUUGGCGACUCGGACCUGAAGGAAAUCUCCUACAUUACGAGAGAGGUGCUGGAAGGAAUAAUGGAUGCAGAAGGGACAGAACUGGAGGUUCUUGUUGGCCUUAGUUCACAAAUAUGUAAUGUCAUUCCAGGUGAUUUUGCGCGAGAACUAGAGCAUGGUCAGAUUAAGGAAAGAUUUAUAAAGAGGCUUGUUGAUGCACUUAAGAAAAAUAUGAUACCCACCUGUCGUUGUCCCAGAAUCAGGAGGGUGAUAGUUGAACAUGCCAUAUACAUGAUGGAGUGUAAUCCUGGCAACGCCAACUGUUUCAAAAAAUACUGGAUGAUGGAAGCACUGCUAAAGGUGGAGCGUACAACUUCAAGGGCUGAAAAUUACAGGUUCUUCUCGGGUGAUGCAGGACUCAUGGAGCACAGCGUACCUCUAUCUGCACUUGUGUCCAGAGCAAAAGAACUGAUGGGCCGUGGGUAG